rnacentral:rRNA from 1 species
CCUACGGGGGGCUGCAGUGGGGAAUAUUGGACAAUGGGGGCAACCCUGAUCCAGCCAUGCCGCGUGUGUGAAGAAGGCCCUCGGGUUGUAAAGCACUUUCAGUGAGGAAGAACGCCUGGUGGUUAAUACCCAUCAGGAAAGACAUCACUCACAGAAGAAGCACCGGCUAACUCCGUGCCAGCAGCCGCGGUAAUACGGAGGGUGCGAGCGUUAAUCGGAAUUACUGGGCGUAAAGGGCGCGUAGGUGGCUUGAUAAGCCGGUUGUGAAAGCCCCGGGCUCAACCUGGGAACGGCAUCCGGAACUGUCAAGCUAGAGUGCAGGAGAGGAAGGUAGAAUUCCCGGUGUAGCGGUGAAAUGCGUAGAGAUCGGGAGGAAUACCAGUGGCGAAGGCGGCCUUCUGGACUGACACUGACACUGAGGUGCGAAAGCGUGGGUAGCAAACAGGAUUAGAUACCCUAGUAGUC